rnacentral:rRNA from 1 species
CCUAGAUAUUAUCUAAGGUGAAACCUGCCCAAUGAUUUUUAAUUUAAAACAAGUAAAAAUUGUUUAAAAAAAUUAAACGGACGCGGUAACCUUGACCGUGAUAAUGUAGCAUAAUCACUCGCCAUUUAAUUGAUGGAUAGUAUGAAUGGUUAAACGAAUAUUCCACUGUCUUAAAAAGAGAAACCUAAAAAUUUAAAUAAUAGUUAAGAUGCUAUUUAAAAUUGUAAGACGAAAAGACCCUAUAGAGCUUAACUAUAUUCUUUUAAUAAAAUAGAAAAUCAAUUCAAAAAAAAGAAAGAAUGGUAGUUUAGUUGGGGCGACUGUUUUCUAAAAAUAACGAAAACAAGCAAAGUUAAUAACAUAUUUAUUGUAUAAUUAAUUUAUUUAACAAUUACAAAAGUAGGCUAUAAUGACCCGUUUUUUCUCGGUAAAAAGAAUAACGAUCAAUAAAUAAAAGCUACCUUAGGGAUAACAGGAUAAUUUCAUUUUAGAGAUCUAAUCGAAAAUGAAGUUUGUCACCUCUAUGUUGAAUUAAGAUAUCCCGACGAUGCAGAAGUUGUCAAAGGUAGGUCUGUUCGACCUUUAAAAU